rnacentral:rRNA from 1 species
CCUACGGUGCGCAGCAGUGGGGAAUAUUGGACAAUGGGCGAAAGCCUGAUCCAGCCAUGCCGCGUGUGUGAAGAAGGCCUUCGGGUUGUAAAGCACUUUCAGUGGGGAAGAAAGCCUUGGGGCUAAUACCCUCGAGGAAGGACAUCACCCACAGAAGAAGCACCGGCUAACUCCGUGCCAGCAGCCGCGGUAAUACGGAGGGUGCGAGCGUUAAUCGGAAUUACUGGGCGUAAAGCGCGCGUAGGCGGUCUGAUAAGCCGGUUGUGAAAGCCCCGGGCUCAACCUGGGAACGGCAUCCGGAACUGUCAGGCUAGAGUGCAGGAGAGGAAGGUAGAAUUCCCGGUGUAGCGGUGAAAUGCGUAGAGAUCGGGAGGAAUACCAGUGGCGAAGGCGGCCUUCUGGACUGACACUGACGCUGAGGUGCGAAAGCGUGGGUAGCAAACAGGAUUAGAUACCCCUGUAGUC